CAAGCAUGGAUACCCCGGGAGGUCACUCUCCCUGGGCUCUGUCCAGGUGGUGUAGGGGAGCACAGGGCUCAGCCCUGUGAGGCACAGUCCCUUUCCACAACGCUGGAGAGGAAGCCAGGCCCUGAGUCUGCGCCUGCACAUUCCCACAGCUUCUCGGAGUCCUAUGGUCAGUGACUGAGGCAACAAACCACACAGGAAACAUCU